rnacentral:tRNA from 1 species
UCCUGGUGGCUUAAAUGGUAAAAUAUCUGCCUGCAAUGCAGGAGAUACAGGUUCAAUCCCUGGGUCAAGAA